UACGGAGGAUCCAAGCGUUAUCCGGAUUUAUUGGGUUUAAAGGGUGCGUAGGCGGUUUAUUAAGUCAGUGGUGAAAGCCCCGGAGCUCAACUUCGGAACUGCCAUUGAUACUGAUAGACUUGAGUACAGAUGAAGUGGGCGGAAUGUGACAAGUAGCGGUGAAAUGCUUAGAUAUGUCACAGAACACCGAUUGCGAAGGCAGCUCACUAAAGUGUAAACUGACGCUGAGGCACGAAAGCGUGGGGGAUCAAACAGG
rnacentral:rRNA from 1 species